GCUUAGACCACGGCCUUGCCCAACACAAGUUAUAAAUUUGAGCACCACCGGGAAUUGAACCCGGGACCCCAGGCUUACAAGGCUAGUGUUCUGACCGCUAGACCACCGUGGUUUUCAAGGUACUGCCCUGGAAUCUGCUUGGAAAGACAGAGGAAAAUCAAGAAAAAUCUCAGUCAAGAGUCUACAUCAGGGUAGUCAGUAACACAGGCAAAAUCUGAACUCGGUACAUCCCAAAUGACACAUUAGCAUUUUCCUGAAAUAAACAAAUUCCUGGACAGUAAUGGUACAAGGAGUGAAACCCAGUAAUCCUCAAUCAGGAUAGCCAGUCUUCAGGCUAAUAUUUGAAUAUGGAUCAUCCCAAAUACAAACUAGGAGUGUGAACUACUACAAUAUGACUUUAAAUUUGAUGAUAUAAACUGGAUGAAACUGCAGAAUCAUGUCUAAAUGUGGAAUAUGGUUUCAUCAGUGUUGAACUCUCAGAUUCUAUUAACAGAAUUAAUAAUACAAAGUUUUCUUGUAAGCUGUUAAUACCUGAUGUGAGUAGACUGCAAGAUCCUCUGGAGAGGCUCCCGAGUGGGUAUUAUGAACAAAGCAUGUUUAGGAUUAGUCACCAGAACUACAGGCCAGUCCCUGUGUUUGAUAUCAACAAAUGAAAACAGUCCAUGAUCUACUGCCAGAAGACGGUACCUGCAACACAGGGAUCAGGAACAGAGAAGGAUUUGUCAAAGGUCUGUGGAUUACAUUGCAGUUAUGCUGAGCAUUUUGCCAGUGUUGGAAGUAUAUUUCCCAUGUUUCAGGAAUUUGCUCUGUUCCCAUCUGUAUACCUGCAGCAUGACAACAGUGAAGGAUUCUCUAAAGGUUUAUAACAGUGGUUGAUUCAUUAUAAUGUUGGAAAUUAUCAACUACUGAUUGAACAUUUUAUAUAAACAAUGAUUCUGGUGUUGAUCUACUACCCUCGUAUUAGAUACCUACAGGGCAACAGAGCAGAAAUUCCUAAAUUUUUGUGCUGUGAUCAAUUAAAGUGAUUUUAGCUUGGA